UACGGAGGGGGCUAGCGUUGUUCGGAAUUACUGGGCGUAAAGCGCACGUAGGCGGCUUUGUAAGUUAGAGGUGAAAGCCCGGAGCUCAACUCCGGAAUUGCCUUUAAGACUGCAUCGCUCGAAUCAUGGAGAGGUGAGUGGAAUUCCGAGUGUAGAGGUGAAAUUCGUAGAUAUUCGGAAGAACACCAGUGGCGAAGGCGGCUCACUGGCCCGUUACCGACGCUCAGGCGCGACAGCGUGGGGAGCAAACAGG
rnacentral:rRNA from 1 species